GUUAAGCGACUAAGCGUACACGGUGGAUGCCCUGGCAGUCAGAGGCGAUGAAGGACGUGCUAAUCUGCGAUAAGCGUCGGUAAGGUGAUAUGAACCGUUAUAACCGGCGAUUUCCGAAUGGGGAAACCCAGUGUGUUUCGACACACUAUCAUUAACUGAAUCCAUAGGUUAAUGAGGCGAACCGGGGGAACUGAAACAUCUAAGUACCCCGAGGAAAAGAAAUCAACCGAGAUUCCCCCAGUAGCGGCGAGCGAACGGGGAGCAGCCCAGAGCCUGAAUCAGUGUGUGUGUUAGUGGAAGCGUCUGGAAAGGCGCGCGAUACAGGGUGACAGCCCCGUACACAAAAAUGCACAUGCUGUGAGCUCGAUGAGUAGGGCGGGACACGUGGUAUCCUGUCUGAAUAUGGGGGGACCAUCCUCCAAGGCUAAAUACUCCUGACUGACCGAUAGUGAACCAGUACCGUGAGGGAAAGGCGAAAAGAACCCCGGCGAGGGGAGUGAAAAAGAACCUGAAACCGUGUACGUACAAGCAGUGGGAGCACGCUUAGGCGUGUGACUGCGUACCUUUUGUAUAAUGGGUCAGCGACUUAUAUUCUGUAGCAAGGUUAACCGAAUAGGGGAGCCGAAGGGAAACCGAGUCUUAACUGGGCGUUAAGUUGCAGGGUAUAGACCCGAAACCCGGUGAUCUAGCCAUGGGCAGGUUGAAGGUUGGGUAACACUAACUGGAGGACCGAACCGACUAAUGUUGAAAAAUUAGCGGAUGACUUGUGGCUGGGGGUGAAAGGCCAAUCAAACCGGGAGAUAGCUGGUUCUCCCCGAAAGCUAUUUAGGUAGCGCCUCGUGAAUUCAUCUCCGGGGGUAGAGCACUGUUUCGGCAAGGGGGUCAUCCCGACUUACCAACCCGAUGCAAACUGCGAAUACCGGAGAAUGUUAUCACGGGAGACACACGGCGGGUGCUAACGUCCGUCGUGAAGAGGGAAACAACCCAGACCGCCAGCUAAGGUCCCAAAGUCAUGGUUAAGUGGGAAACGAUGUGGGAAGGCCCAGACAGCCAGGAUGUUGGCUUAGAAGCAGCCAUCAUUUAAAGAAAGCGUAAUAGCUCACUGGUCGAGUCGGCCUGCGCGGAAGAUGUAACGGGGCUAAACCAUGCACCGAAGCUGCGGCAGCGACACUAUGUGUUGUUGGGUAGGGGAGCGUUCUGUAAGCCUGUGAAGGUGUGCUGUGAGGCAUGCUGGAGGUAUCAGAAGUGCGAAUGCUGACAUAAGUAACGAUAAAGCGGGUGAAAAGCCCGCUCGCCGGAAGACCAAGGGUUCCUGUCCAACGUUAAUCGGGGCAGGGUGAGUCGACCCCUAAGGCGAGGCCGAAAGGCGUAGUCGAUGGGAAACAGGUUAAUAUUCCUGUACUUGGUGUUACUGCGAAGGGGGGACGGAGAAGGCUAUGUUGGCCGGGCGACGGUUGUCCCGGUUUAAGCGUGUAGGCUGGUUUUCCAGGCAAAUCCGGAAAAUCAAGGCUGAGGCGUGAUGACGAGGCACUACGGUGCUGAAGCAACAAAUGCCCUGCUUCCAGGAAAAGCCUCUAAGCAUCAGGUAACAUCAAAUCGUACCCCAAACCGACACAGGUGGUCAGGUAGAGAAUACCAAGGCGCUUGAGAGAACUCGGGUGAAGGAACUAGGCAAAAUGGUGCCGUAACUUCGGGAGAAGGCACGCUGAUAUGUAGGUGAAGCGACUUGCUCGUGGAGCUGAAAUCAGUCGAAGAUACCAGCUGGCUGCAACUGUUUAUUAAAAACACAGCACUGUGCAAACACGAAAGUGGACGUAUACGGUGUGACGCCUGCCCGGUGCCGGAAGGUUAAUUGAUGGGGUCAGCGCAAGCGAAGCUCUUGAUCGAAGCCCCGGUAAACGGCGGCCGUAACUAUAACGGUCCUAAGGUAGCGAAAUUCCUUGUCGGGUAAGUUCCGACCUGCACGAAUGGCGUAAUGAUGGCCAGGCUGUCUCCACCCGAGACUCAGUGAAAUUGAACUCGCUGUGAAGAUGCAGUGUACCCGCGGCAAGACGGAAAGACCCCGUGAACCUUUACUAUAGCUUGACACUGAACAUUGAGCCUUGAUGUGUAGGAUAGGUGGGAGGCUUUGAAGUGUGGACGCCAGUCUGCAUGGAGCCGACCUUGAAAUACCACCCUUUAAUGUUUGAUGUUCUAACGUGGACCCGUGAUCCGGGUUGCGGACAGUGUCUGGUGGGUAGUUUGACUGGGGCGGUCUCCUCCUAAAGAGUAACGGAGGAGCACGAAGGUUGGCUAAUCCUGGUCGGACAUCAGGAGGUUAGUGCAAUGGCAUAAGCCAGCUUGACUGCGAGCGUGACGGCGCGAGCAGGUGCGAAAGCAGGUCAUAGUGAUCCGGUGGUUCUGAAUGGAAGGGCCAUCGCUCAACGGAUAAAAGGUACUCCGGGGAUAACAGGCUGAUACCGCCCAAGAGUUCAUAUCGACGGCGGUGUUUGGCACCUCGAUGUCGGCUCAUCACAUCCUGGGGCUGAAGUAGGUCCCAAGGGUAUGGCUGUUCGCCAUUUAAAGUGGUACGCGAGCUGGGUUUAGAACGUCGUGAGACAGUUCGGUCCCUAUCUGCCGUGGGCGCUGGAGAACUGAGGGGGGCUGCUCCUAGUACGAGAGGACCGGAGUGGACGCAUCACUGGUGUUCGGGUUGUCAUGCCAAUGGCACUGCCCGGUAGCUAAAUGCGGAAGAGAUAAGUGCUGAAAGCAUCUAAGC
rnacentral:rRNA from 1 species